UACGGAGGGUGCGAGCGUUGUCCGGAAUCACUGGGCGUAAAGGGCGCGUAGGCGGCCUGAUAAGUAGGGGGUGAAAUCCUGCGGCUUAACCGCAGGGCUGCCUUCUAAACUGUCAGGCUCGAGCACAGUAGAGGCAGGUGGAAUUCCCGGUGUAGCGGUGGAAUGCGUAGAGAUCGGGAAGAACAUCAGUGGCGAAGGCGGCCUGCUGGGCUGUUGCUGACGCUGAGACGCGAAAGCGUGGGGAGCGAACCGG
rnacentral:rRNA from 1 species